GAUGAAGAACGUAGCGAAAUGCGAUACGUAAUGUGAAUUGCAGAAUUCAGUGAAUCAUCGAAUCUUUGAACGCAUAUUGCGCUCUCUGGUAUUCCGGAGAGCAUGCUUGUUUGAGUAUCAGUAAACACCUCAACUUCCAUAUCUUUUUUUGAAAUGGGAGUUGGACUUGAGUGAUCCCAACGCUUUUCCUCACCGAAAAGUGGCGGGUUACUUGAAAUGCAGGUGCAGCUGGACUUUUCUCUGAGCUAUAAGCAUAUCUAUUUAGUGUGCCUAAAAAACAGAUUAUUACCUUUGCUGCAGCUAACAUAAAGGAGAUUAGUUCUUGUGCUGACUGAUGCAGGAUUCACAAAGACAGCUUCGGCCGACUUUGUAAACUCGAUCUCAAAUCAAGUAAGACUACCCGCUGAACUUAAGCAUAUCAAUAAGCGGAGGA
rnacentral:misc_RNA from 1 species